rnacentral:misc_RNA from 1 species
UUGAUUGAUUGUUUUCAAUACUCCGACGCAAAGACGCAGUGUGUUGGGUUGGACCUCUGGGGGACUCCCGGACAGACGUCCGGGUCGCCCCCCGAGGCAACAGAUAUGAAUCGACAAAGGGUUGGGAGGUUGGGCGCGAGGGCCCGCACUCGGUAAUGAUCCCUCCGCAGGUUCACCUACGGAGA